GUGCUUUAUUUUAAAAUUUUUAUUGAGACACAGCAUAUAAAGUAUGCACAAAUCUUAAGGGUAUAACAUAAUGAAUUUCACUAUCCAGAUAAAGAUUUAGAACAUUUAUAGUUUUCUUGUGCUCCUUUCAGGCAAUACCUAAAGGUAUUUACCUUGUCUUUUGAUAACCUCCUCCACAUCUUCUCUGGUUCCUUUUAACAGGGAAUGUGUUGAAUAUGUCAAGAGCUUCAAUAUCCCUCUACUCGUGCUGGGUGGUGGUGGUUAUACUGUCCGAAAUGUUGCCCGCUGCUGGUGAGCACUCUCCUGAUUUCCUCCCCUGUUGUCCAGUGUGAGCUAGGGUGUCCCUCAGAUAUGGCCACGUGGGCCCUUCAGCCCACUUGGUCAGCCUGCUCCCCUCUGCUGGUUGGUUUCAGGACAUAUGAGACAUCGCUGCUGGUAGAAGAGGCCAUUAGUGAGGAGCUUCCCUAUAGUGAAUACUUCGAGUACUUUGCCCCAGACUUCACACUUCAUCCAGAUGUCAGCACCCGCAUCGAGAAUCAGAACUCACGCCAGUAUCUGGACCAGAUCCGCCAGACAAUCUUUGAAAACCUGAAGAUGCUGAACCAUGCACCUAGUGUCCAGAUUCAUGACGUGCCUGCAGACCUCCUGACCUAUGACAGGACUGAUGAGGCUGAUGCAGAGGAGAGGGGUCCUGAGGAGAACUAUAGCAG
rnacentral:sRNA from 1 species